GCAAGAGUGUCUCCAAGUUUUGCUGGCCUCAUCAGCAGCAUGGGGAAGAGUGACAGACACACGACGGCCACCACCAGAACUGAGUAUGGGCCUCGUUCCUGAGUUCCUUAUUUCUGAAAUGAGGAUGAGAGCUUCCCGCCGGCAAAGCACGUCUGUCCUGUCUGCUACAGUGGGCUCAGUGGGGUUCCAAGCUCCCACUGGCAAAGCACCAGGAACGAGUUACAAAGUGUGCUGAACUACCCAUGGAGGGGCCACAUCUGAUCUUCAGAGCAAGCCUCUGCCCCUUCCUCCCACCGGGUUCCAAUAUCCAAGAGUCAGACCUUAUGUUUCCAGCCGCUGGUGCGUAGAGGUGCUUGAUUAAAUCUUUUGAUAAGAAUUAAGUUUUGGUCCAUCACUGAGAAGAGAGCAUAAUUAACAGGCUUUAAAAAAAAAUAGGCUGCUUGUUAGAGCGGUUUUAGAUUCACAGUAACAUUGAGGGGACAGUACAGAGUGCUCCCUCACCCCUGCACCGGUUAUGGUUGAUGACCCUGCACGGAUCCACCAUCAUCACCCAGAGUCCAUAGUUCACGCCAGGGCUCACUCUUGGUGUUGUGCAUUCCGUGGGGUUCG
rnacentral:lncRNA from 1 species